GAAGACCCUAUUAAGCUCAGUAACUGUGGAAAGCCUUCAUGGAAACCAGCGAAAGCAUCUGCUAAAGAGAAAAUCAUAAAGGCUCAUGUUCCCAGACAAAGACUGGAGUGACCCGGUCAUAUUACGGUGUCACAAUUAAUGUUCUUUUUAAGCUUCAGGUGUCUUUAAGGUUCUUGGAGUCCAACAUGGUUUCCUUCAUAAAAAGUAUGACAAAGCUGAGUAUAUGCAGCUGUGUUUUAGUUCAUAAGAAUCAACAGGGAAUCAACAAAGAUGACAAAGUCUGACUUUGAGCCAGGACUUGAAGCAGACAUACUGGGCUCUUGCGAAAAAGCUUGUUCCCACAAGAUUGCCAGCCAAAUUUUGCAGACUCAAGAUGUUUGGAGAGUUUGAAUAAUCAUCACAAUUUUUGGACGUCUAUCUGAGGUAAACAUAAAUGCCAAACCUUGAGGGUCUCACUAUUAGUGUAAGUAUGAUUCAGUAUGAGGUAUUUCUGUCCUUGGCUGGUUGAUAGAAGAUAAUUAUAAGGUUCCUUAAUUGAAAUUUAAUUAGAAAUACAAAGUGAUACAUGUUAGUUUGUAAAAUAUCACAGUGAAACAAUUUGCUCCGGUAUACCAGAUGAACAGAAAACAAAUGAACACAUUCUUAGAACUAAGUGACCCUCCAAUCUUUGGAAAGAUUUUAUAAUUGAUUGAUCGAUUGACUAAAACAUUUGUUUGUCAUCACAAGUAACACUUUUU